rnacentral:lncRNA from 1 species
AUGCCAUAUUUUAAAAACUCUUUUCAAGUGCUGUUGUUUUCCCCUUUUUCUUCGUCAGUGUUCUGGACAUCUUGGAAAAGGUAUACGGGAAGCAACAGAAAUCCUUACAAUUGCAAAAUAAAACCUGAGGGGAUAGGAACCGAGAACUUUUCAAUGAAGAAGACAAGAAUUGUUGACAAUUCAUACUUUAGGUCUGUUAUUGGAGCCCACCAGCAUGCCAGGAGUAGCUGGGAGUAUUCAGUGGAGCCCCAUCUGAGACUGCCAGAACACAAAGCCUCUCUCUUCGUACAUUUCAAGGAUGGGAAAAAUCAUCCUGUACAUGGAGGAUGGCCUCAGCUACACUGUCCAGCUAAAAGAAUCAGCAAAAGACUUCAAAGUAUAUUUCACAAAAUCUAG